CAAGGCUGAGAGUUUACUGCUCAAGGUCAUACGGCUGUUAAGCAGUGCAUUCGAGUGUGUCUGGUGAUGAACCAUAACCACAAAUUUAUUUUAUUCUCUCAGCCUGCCAGUAUCCAUGAGCCGCACCUCUAAGUCACCAGGCCCACAGCCUGAGACCCCCGCCAGGCCCUGGCACAGCAUCAGAAGAUGACAGCAACCCCAAGACAGCUGGAUGCCUGGGCAGUGCAGAGUACUGAGGAUUGAACCUAGGAGUACUGAGCUACAUCUCUAGUCUUACCCCUCACACUUAAAAAAAUUUUGAGACAGGGUAUUGCCCAGGUAAGCCUUUGAGAUUCUCCUGCCUCAACCUUCAAACAACUGUGAUUACAGUAAUGUGCCACACGGCCUAAUCCUGAUUUCUUCAUACACAGCGAAGGUUAAGAGCAAGGAGUUGAGGUCAGAGGCACCUUGGUUUUAGACUUCGUCUCCCUACCUUUUUACUCAGUGAUCUGAGGAUGCUUUCCAAACCUCUUUAAACUGCAGUUUCCUCUUCUGGCUUCUGGCAGAGAUAAUAACCCCAACCUUCCAGCAGGACUGAGCCCGAGGCCCCAGGAAUUUAGCGAGGCUGGCCACACUCUCUCUGGCAGCUUUAAGCCUAAAUAACCUGAGCGCAGCAGGUGGAAAGGAGUUAAGAAGGCCCCGCCCCCAGGCUGCCCCAGCCUUUCACAUGCUGAUGCCAGGCAAGCCAGGAGGAGCUCAAAGGCGGGGAGAUGGCAGCCCCCAACCCCCAAAGUUGCUUCCCGAGGUGCCCACCAGCAGAGCCCCCUCUUUUCUACCUCAAUCUCCCCUAGGCUCCAGCCUCCUUUCCCACCCCGCUGACAGAUUCCUCACACCUGGCAGGAUCACAGCCUGUCCUCCCGCCUACUCUCUCCCUGCUUGCCUUGCUCCUGAGGGCUCCUCUCUGCUCCCCAACACUCCAGCCAAACCAGGCCCUGGAUACCCGGUUCCCCACUUCCUUUUCUGUCUGCAGUGUACCAAGUUACCCACUUUCAGGGUCCAGCCCCAGGGCAGUGGCCUCCAAGGGCCUCUCCUUCCCCUUGGACACAGUGCUGUGCUUCUCUGAGCAGCUUAUCACUCACCAGGUCCGAGUCUUUGGUAGGCAGCAGGUGUCACAUAAAUACCUGGAGUUGGAAAGAGUAAGUCUAAUCCAACUCCCUCAGUCCCACCCUCCGUGUUUUGGUACUGGGGAUUGAACCCAGGGCCACUGCACAGAGCUACAUCCCCACUCUCCCCGCUUUUUGGAGACAGGGCUAAAUCACCAAGCUGGUCAGGCCGGGACUGAAUUUUCCACUCUCCCGCUCAGCCUCCUAGAGGGCUGGUUUUAUAUACCUUUGUCGUCUGAGACAGGCUGGACC
rnacentral:lncRNA from 1 species